GGACUGUAGGAAAGAUGAAAUAAUGAGGUAAAAACUUGAAGUUGUGGUUACAAUUAUAGGCCAAUGUUUCCCUGCUGUCAACCAAUCUCUGUAAAUUGAACUUUGUGUCUGAGACAUGGUGCAAAUGAGGGGCAGAGAUUUCUACCUUCUGCCGUGUCUAUGCUCACAAAAGAAUAUAGCCAUGAAAGAAUUAAAUGGAAGAAGUUUUUUUUUUUUUGUAGAGACAGAGUCUCACUGUACCGCCCUUGGUAGAGUGCCAUGGCGUCACACGGCUCACAGCAACCUCCAGCUCUUGGGCUUACGCGAUUCUCUUGCCUCAGCCUCCUGAGCAGCGCCCGGGACAACGCCCAGCUAUUUUUUUGUUGCGGUUUGGCCAGGGCUGGGUUUGAACCCGCCGCCCUCAGCAUUUGGGGCCGGCGCCCUACUCACUGAGCCACAGGCGCCGCCCUUAAAUGGAAGAAUUUAUGAAAGAACACAGCCAUGGAAGAAUUCAAUCACAUCGGAGGGAUUUGAUUUUAGUUUGGUUUAGUAUAUACAGGGAAUUGGGUUUUUAUAAACAGUUUUAAAAAAUAUUGUGUUUCUAAAUGCUUAGUUACUUAGAUUGCUACCUGGGGCUGUAUCAGGGAAGGGGUAAGUUUAGUCUUAAUUAAAAUCACCAGCUAAUUAAAAGGGAGAUGUUCUCAUAAGAAAAGUAACUAUGGUGGAAAACAGCAAUUAGCUUCUGGAACUACCUGCUUUUUGGCACAGAACGCCUCCUCUUCAGCCAGAGAAAUAACAGACUGAGCAGCAGGACCCUGCCAUCCAUCCAUGAAGCCCUCCAGGUUAACAGCAAGGUCAUGGAUCUUGGGGGAGAAAAAAGGCCUGUGCCAGUAAACAUCUUAGAUGCCUAGUUGCCAAUUUUCAAAAUAACCCAUGACAGCCAGCAGAGUUAGUAACUGGCUGACAUGCCCUUAUUUGUAAAUGGAACCUAAAUGCAAAGGUUCUUCCACAUACCCUUAACCCCCAUUCCCACAGUCCUAUCUAGGACAUUUUCAUUCGGCCAAAGAUGCAGCAGGUGCUAAAGAAAUGCUGCUGCAUCUUCUGGCCGAAUGAAAAUGAAAUGCUAUUCACAUUUCUUUAGCACAGAUACAGAUUAUUUUUACCCCAAGAGAGUUCAAAUAUUCCCACUAUCAAGAGGGGUGUUCCCCAGAAUGUAACAAAAUGAAUUUCAGCUCUCACACCAGUUAAAGUAUGGCCCAGAGUUAGUUAAGGAGUAUAAAGUGACUAGUGAUCAGUUAUUGUUCAUUCGUUAGGGUGCACAAUUGCAGAAACUCUACCCAGAGCUGAGCACGCAUGGAUAUAUCAUGAUGUCAGGUGUCAGUUAAGGGUUAUGUUCCUGUAAACCAAAGCACCAGAGCUAACCUAACAAUUUCCCUUUCUGUCCUUAAUUGGUAAAGAGUUCAAGUACUGUGGUGCUACUAGAGUGAUACUGGGCUGUGCUUCUUCAAACAUUCUAGUUUCUGAAUACUAAACGUUGGUAAUAAAAUAUCUCAUCACUGCCCAGGUCAGGUCAGGAUGAAUCAAAAGGGAAGGCAGCUGAUCAAAUAGAUUUGGAAGUUAUUUUAAUUUCUCCUCUGACUCAGAUAAGCUUCUCUUCUCCUGGAAAGAUGUUCCACAAAAGCUUCCUGAUCACCAAUUCCUACAUUUUUUAAAAGGCCCAGAUAAGAGUAAUUUUGCCAAAGCUCUAGAAGGUUUCUCUGGAGACAGAUAAUUGUAUCAUCAGAGCAAGCUUGGAGAAACUCUUCUCCCAAAUAAUACUAACAUCAACCAAAAAGUUAACCACUCCUAUUUUCU